GAAAAUAAAGUAGUUAAGGGCACAUGGGGGAUGCCUAGGCUCUGGAAGGCGAUGAAGGACGUGAUAAGCUGCGAUAAGCUGCGGGGAUUGGCAAAUACGAAUUGAUCCGCAGAUUUCCGAAUGGGGCAACCCGGUACGGGAAGACCGUACCAUUCCAUGCAUAUGGAAGGCGAACGCGGGGAACUGAAACAUCUAAGUACCCGUAGGAGAAGAAAACAAUAGUGAUUCCCGGAGUAGUGGCGAGCGAAACGGGAGAAGCCCAAACCGAUGCUGUUUCGGCAGUAUCGGGGUUGUAGGACUGAGUGGUGGCAAGAAACCAAUGAAGCGGAAGCAUCUGGAAAGUUGCAUCGUAGAGGGUGAUAAUCCCGUACGCGAAUCGUUGGCGAAGUCUAUCAGUAUCCUGAGUAGCGCGGGACACGUGAAAUCCUGUGUGAAACCGGCGGGACCAUCCGCCAAGGCUAAAUACUCUCCAGAGACCGAUAGUGAACCAGUACCGUGAGGGAAAGGUGAAAAGAACCUCGAACAGAGGAGUGAAAUAGACCCUGAAACCAUGUGCUUGCAAGCGGUCGGAGCCCCUUAGAGGGGUGACGGCGUGCCUUUUGCAUAAUGAACCUACGAGUUACUCUUGUUGGCAAGGUUAAGCGCAAUGAUGCGUGUCAGCCGCAGCGAAAGCGAGUCCGAACAGGGCGCACAGUCAGCAGGAGUAGACGCGAAACCAAGUGAUCUACCCUUGAGCAGGCUGAAGUUUUGGUAACACAACAUGGAGGGCCGAACCGGUAAACGUUGAAAAGUUUUCGGAUGACUUGAGGGUAGGGGUGAAAGGCUAAUCAAACUUGGAGAUAGCUCGUACUCCCCGAAAUGCAUUUAGGUGCAGCCUCGGAUCAUGAGCUUACAUGAGGUAGAGCUACUGAUUGGAUGCGAGGGCUUCGCCGCCUAUCAAGUCCAGACAAACUCCGAAUGCGUGUAAGUGAUCUCCGGGAGUGAGGGCGCGGGUGCUAAGGUCCGUGUCCGAGAGAGGAACAACUCAGACCAUCAGCUAAGGUCCCCAAAUAUGUGCUAAGUUGCAUUAAACGAAGUUCUGCCGCAGCGACAGCUAGGAUGUUGGCUUGGAAGCAGCCAUUCAUUUAAAGAGUGCGUAACAGCUCACUAGUCGAGUGGCGGAGCGUGGAUAAUAAUCGGGCAUAAGCACAUUACCGAAGCUAUGGAAUU
rnacentral:rRNA from 1 species